UUAACUAAGAAGACGCGCGGUCAUUUUUGCCACACCUCGGUUAUCCAGGGUGCGACCGUAUCGAUUCUGGCGUAAGGGGCGUGGGUGUUAAGAGUAGUCGAAAUUCUGGCUACUGGAACUGCGCUUAUACUGUGGACUAGAGUACUGUAGAGGAAGGUGGAAUUUCGGGUAGCGUGAACUGCGUAGAUAUCCGAAGGAACAUCAGUGCGAAGGCGACCUUCUGGACAGAUACUGACACUGAGCACGAAAAGCGGGGGGAGCCAAACAGGAUUAGAUAACCUGGUAGUACACGCUGUAAACGAUGAGGACUGGCUGUUGGGUGCCGUGAGGUACUUAGUAGCGAAAGCUAACGCGUUAAGUUCUCCGCAUGGGGAGUACGGCCGCAAGGCUAAAACUCUAAAGAAAUUGACGGGGGCCCGCACAAGCGCUGGAACAUGUGGUUUAAUUCGACGCAACGCGAAGAACCUUACCUACCCUUGACAUCCUCGGAACCUUGCAGAAAUGUGAGGGUGCCUUCGGGAGCCGAGAGACAGGUGCUGCAUGGCUGUCGUCAGCUCGUGUCGUGAGAUGUUGGGUUAAGUCCCGUAACGAGCGCAACCCCUAUUCUUAGUUGCCAUUGGGUAAAGCCAGGAACUCUAAGGAGACUACCGGUGAUAAGCCGGAGGAAGGUGGGGAUGACGUCAAGUCAUCAUGGCCCUCACGGGUAGGGCUACACACGUGUUACAAUGGACGGUACAGAGGGAAGCGAAGCCGUGAGGUGAAGCGAAUCUCACUAAAGCCGUUCGUAGUCCGGAUUGGAGUCUGCAACUCGACUCCAUGAAGUUGGAAUCGCUAGUAAUCGCGGAUCAGAACGCCGCGGUGAAUACGUUCUCGGGCCUUGUACACACCGCCCGUCACAGCAUGGAAGUGGGUUGCACCAGAAGUAGGUAGGCUAACCGUAAGGGGGCCGCUUACCACGGUGUGAUUCAUGACUGGGCUGAAGUCGUAACAAGG
rnacentral:rRNA from 1 species